CUUGCAGCGUAGAAACACCGCUUCCUUUACGAUCACCGAAGUUGAGCAACGUUGUGCCUGGCCAGUGCCAGGAUGGGCGACCGCAUGGGAACACCAUGUGUUUU